rnacentral:rRNA from 1 species
AUUGAACGCUGGCGGCAGGCCUAACACAUGCAAGUCGAACGAGUGGCGGACGGGUGAGUAAUGUCUGGGAAACUGCCCGAUGGAGGGGGAUAACUACUGGAAACGGUCGCUAAUACCGCAUACCAUCGGAUGUGCCCAAGUGGGAUUAGCUAGUAGGUGGGGUAACGGCUCACCAAGCCGACGAUCCCUAGCUGGUCUGAGAGGAUGACCAGCAACACCGGAACUGAGACACGGUCCGGACUCCUACGGGAGGCAGCAGUGGGGAAUAUUGCACAAUGGGGGCAACCCUGAUGCAGCCAUGCCGCGUGUAUGAAGAAGGCCUUCGGGUUGUAAAGUACUUUCAGUGAGGAGGCGUUACUCGCAGAAGAAGCACCGGCUAACUCCGUGCCAGCAGCCGCGGUAAUUC